rnacentral:lncRNA from 1 species
GAGAGCAGAGUCUUUACAAAAUUUAAAGAUUGAUUGAUUGGGUCCCAGCCCAUACUCCACAACUACCUAAAACAGACUGCCCAGACCUAAGGCUCACCGGGAUGGCUGGAGGGAGUUUGCUCAACUAACACUAAAGAGUGUGAAAUUAAAUAAGACUUUAAGACCGGUAAUCAGUGGCAAACACCAGCUGAAGACACGACUGACCCUGUGUCCCAUACUUCCCUCCGGGAGGGUCUUUCUUUGAAGGGGAGUGGAACUGCCAGAGUUUAAGCUGAGAAUCUCUAGGUUGAAUGAGAGAUGACCUUGAAAAUCUGUACCACUCUUUGCAACUUCUCAGUUUUUCAGAAAAGUACAGUUUAAAAAAAAAAACUAGCCUCAAAAACAGUCAGACAAAUAUCAUUAACAAUAACUCUUUUGCCACUCCAGAAUUCAAAUCUUGAGGCAAAGAAGCCUGUAAAUCCAAAGGACCUUUUAUCUUUGAUGCAAAAGAGUCUACAGUGAAAUGAAGCAUUGUGGGAGAUGGUACUGGGAUGCCCACAGUUAUACCGAGGUUUAAAAGGAGAAACUAGAAUAUGAUUAGUAAACACAUUGGAUAGAAA